rnacentral:tRNA from 1 species
GCCUGGGUGGCUCAGUUGGUUAAGUAUCUGACUUCAGCUCAGGUCACGAUCUCGCAGUUUGUGGGUUCAAGCCCGACGUCAGGCU